rnacentral:rRNA from 1 species
AGUGGCGGACGGGUGAGUAACGCGUGGGUAACCUGCCUCACACAGGGGGAUAACAGUUAGAAAUGACUGCUAAUACCGCAUAAGACCACGGUACCGCAUGGUACAGUGGUAAAAACUCCGGUGGUAUGAGAUGGACCCGCGUCUGAUUAGGUAGUUGGUGGGGUAACGGCCUACCAAGCCGACGAUCAGUAGCCGACCUGAGAGGGUGACCGGCCACAUUGGGACUGAGACACGGCCCAG